UCCCUGGUGGCUCAGACCAUAAAGAAUCUGCCUGCAAUGCAGAAGAUCCAGGUUCAAUCCCUGGGUUGGGAA
rnacentral:tRNA from 1 species